GUAGGUGGCAAGCGUUGUCCGGAAUUAUUGGGCGUAAAGCGCGCGCAGGCGGUCCUUUAAGUCCGAUGUGAAAGCCCACGGCUCAACCGUGGAGGGUCAUUGGAAACUGGGGGACUUGAGUACAGAAGAGGAAAGCGGAAUCUCAAGUGUAGCGGUGAAAUGCGUAGAGAUUUGGAGGAACACCAGUGGCGAAGGCGGCUUUCUGGUCUGUAACUGACGCUGAGGCGCGAAAGCGUGGGGAGCAAACAGGGAUUAGAUACCCUGGUAGUCCACGCCGUAAACGAUGAGUGCUAAGUGUUAGGGGGUUUCCCGCCCCUUAGUGCUGCAGCUAACGCAUUAAGCACUCGCCUGGGGAUACGGCCGCAAGGCUG
rnacentral:rRNA from 1 species